rnacentral:rRNA from 1 species
AUUGAACGCUGGCGGCAGGCUUAACACAUGCAAGUCGAGCGGAGAUGAGGUGCUUGCACCCUAUCUUAGCGGCGGACGGGUGAGUAAUGCUUAGGAAUCUGCCUAUUAGUGGGGGACAACAUUCCGAAAGGGAUGCUAAUACCGCAUACGUCCUACGGGAGAAAGCAGGGGAUCUUCGGACCUUGCGCUAAUAGAUGAGCCUAAGUCGGAUUAGCCAGUUGGUGGGGUAAUGGCCUACCAAGGCGACGAUCUGUAGCGGGUCUGAGAGGAUGAUCCGCCACACUGGGACUGAGACACGGCCCAGACGCCUACGGGAGGCAGCAGUGGGGAAUAUUGGACAAUGGGGGGAACCCUGAUCCAGCCAUGCCGCGUGUGUGAAGAAGGCCUUAUGGUUGUAAAGCACUUUAAGCGAGGAGGAGGCUACUGAGACUAAUACUCUUGGAUAGUGGACGUUACUCGCAGAAUAAGCACCGGCUAACUCUGUGCCAGCCGCCGCAGUAAUAC